rnacentral:rRNA from 1 species
AGUGAACGCUGGCGGUAGGCCUAACACAUGCAAGUCGAACGGCAGCACAGUAAGAGCUUGCUCUUACGGGUGGCGAGUGGCGGACGGGUGCGGAAUACAUCGGAAUCUACUUUUUCGUGGGGGAUAACGUAGGGAAACAUACGCUAAUACCGCAUACGACCUACGGGUGAAAGCAGGGGAUCUUCGGACCUUGCGCGAUUGAAUGAGCCGAUGUCGGAUUAGCUAGUUGGCGGGGUAAAGGCCCACCAAGGCGACGAUCCGUAGCUGGUCUGAGAGGAUGAUCAGCCACACUGGAACUGAGACACGGUCCAGACUCCUACGGGAGGCAGCAGUGGGGAAUAUUGGACAAUGGGCGCAAGCCUGAUCCAGCCAUACCGCGUGGGUGAAGAAGGCCUUCGGGUUGUAAAGCCCUUUUGUUGGGAAAGAAAAGCAGCAGGUUAAUACCCCGCUGUUCUGACGGUACCCAAAGAAUAAGCACCGGCUAACUUCGUG